AAAACAAAUCUAUGCUUCCUGAGCAAAGGACUAGGAAUCGUUCUGUGGUCUCCUGGAUUUUUCUCGUGAUGUCUGGAUGAGUUCAGCCCGGAAUGUGUAAGAUGUGCUCAUUGCCACGUGGUGCUUCUGCUUGCUGCGUUCACAGAUGUGAUUCUCCAGUGGUAAAUUCAUCUUUUUCAGCCUUGUGUUGCCUGCUAGAGCCAAAGGAAACAAAAGGUAACAAGAAUUUAGAUUAGAAACUGAACAGAUGAUCUGGAGGAAAUGACAGAGAAGGAGAAGGACCUGCUACAAAUACCAGAAGGGGUAUGGGAGGCCAACAAGACACAACAAUGAAGAAAAGGCAGAUGCGGUUGUCGAAUGUGCCCAGCAAGGUGAAAUUCAGCAUAAUGAUUUCAGCAGUGGAAAAGAAUUCUUGAGAGCAAAACCUCUGCAUAGCAGCUUGAUUUUAGUGUGGAAGAAAGCACAUGUGGACAAGAA